rnacentral:rRNA from 1 species
CCUACGGGUGGCAGCAGUAGGGAAUAUUGCUCAAUGGGGGAAACCCUGAAGCAGCAACGCCGCGUGGAGGAUGAAGGUUUUCGGAUUGUAAACUUCUUUUGUUAGAGAAGUAAAUGACGGAACGUAACGAAUAAGCACCGGCUAACUGCGAGUCAGCAGCUGCGGUAAUACGGAGGAUGCAAGCGUUAGUCGGAAUCACUGGGCGUAAAGAGCGCGUAGGCGGGUUAGUAAGUCAGAUGUGAAAUCCUGUGGCUUAACCAUAGAAGUGCAUUUGAAACUGUUAGUCUAGAGUAUAGUAGAGGUAGGUGGAAUUCUUGGUGUAGCGGUAAAAUGCGUAGAGAUCACGAAGAAUACUCAUUGCGAAGGCGACCUGCUAGAACAUAACUGACGCUGAUGCGCGAAAGCGUGGGUAGCAAACAGGAUUAGAUACCCUUGUAGUC